rnacentral:rRNA from 1 species
UACGAAGGGUGCAAACGUUGCUCGGAAUUAUUGGGCGUAAAGCGCACGUAGGCGGCAUAGCAAGUCGGAUGUGAAAUCCCUCGGCUUAACCAAGGAAGUGCACCCGAAACUGAGUAGCUGGAGUACGAAAGAGGGUCGCGGAAUUCCCGGUGUAGAGGUGAAAUUCGUAGAUAUCGGGAGGAACACCGGUGGCGAAGGCGGCGACCUGGGUCGAUACUGACGCUGAGGCGCGAAAGCGUGGGGAGCAAACAGG